AACCUGAAACCGUGUACGUACAAGCAGUGGGAGCACAGGUUUACCUGUGUGACUGCGUACCUUUUGUAUAAUGGGUCAGCGACUUAUAUUCUGUAGCAAGGUUAACCGUAUAGGGGAGCCGGAGGGAAACCGAGUCUUAACCGGGCGUUAAGUUGCAGGGUAUAGACCCGAAACCCGGUGAUCUAGCCAUGGGCAGGUUGAAGGUUGGGUAACACUAACUGGAGGACCGAACCGACUAAUGUUGAAAAAUUAGCGGAUGACCUGUGGCUGGGGGUGAAAGGCCAAUCAAACCGGGAGAUAGCUGGUUCUCCCCGAAAGCUAUUUAGGUAGCGCCUCGUGAAUUCAUCUCCGGGGGUAGAGCACUGUUUCGGCUAGGGGGCCAUCCCGGCUUACCAACCCGAUGCAAACUGCGAAUACCGGAGAAUGU
rnacentral:rRNA from 2 species